ensembl:lncRNA
CACUCUAAAAAAUAUUUUGUUGGCUUAACUUAAAAAAAUUGAGGUAACAAUUUCCACUUAGCUUUUUAAGUUACAAAUUUUGCAUAUUAUUAAGUAAAUCCAGCAAGAAAUUUUUAGGUUUGGCUAACUCAACUUGUUUAACAAACCAACAUGAUUUACCUUGACCUCCACAAGCAUAAUUAAGUUUAUGCAACCUAAUAUUAAUUUAAAAUUUCUGGUAAAAUUAAGUUGAGAAAUUACAUUAGUUGAGUUACACCAACGAACUUUUUUACAUGUAUCCUACUCACAAUUAUCCAUGCCAAUUAGUUUAGGUUUCUAUAGUAGCUUUUCUAAAAAUCACACAAAGCCAUUUCACUUAUUCCAAUUGAUUAUUUUAUUACAAAACAUUUUCAAAGUAAUACACUUCUGUGUCAAUACAACAUAAAUGAGACAUUACAGCAGCCCUUUAAUUAUAAAUGACUAAAAAAAAAAAAAAAGUACUUCAUGUACAUUAACAUUAACUUCAAUUGGUAUCAACUUGUUCAACUUGUCGCAGAAUCAAGGAAAUGACAAAAGAUUUUAAUGUUCAACAACAGAACAAUCCAAAGCUAAGAUUAUAUGUAUUACAAACUUUUCUCAAAACUACACUCAUCUAGGACUGCAUACAAAAACGUAACAGGCACAUCGGAAUACUACAGUCCAAUUCACAUUCGUUUCAUGACAGAAGUUUGCACUUAACAGACAUUACCCGUGGACUGGUUUAAGCCCAUCAAGUUCCAGAAAUACCUCUAGAGUGUUCUUUACUUGUUUUGGGUAGCUCAGAUUGAGAGUGUAUAUAAGCCCCAUCAUUAAGGCACACACUCUGGGCACAUCAAGGUCUUCCAGGACUGCUGUUCCUUCAAUCACAAUUUUAGCGACAGCUGGGAGAGACACUGCUGCUCGUCUGGUGUCUACAAUCUUUACCACUUCUUCUGGGAACUGUUGUUCACCAUCCUGGCAAAUACACCUUCAGGCAACGGAUUGCGACCUCUCUCUUCAUUUCCACCGAACUCUGGAGAAUAAAAAAAGCAAAACAAAACUUAAACUUACAGUUUAUUAGGUGAAAAGUCAAAACUAUUACAUUUAUGUGACUUGCAUUGUGC